UGGGGAAUAUUGCACAAUGGGCGCAAGCCUGAUGCAGCAACGCCGCGUGAGGGACGACGGCCUUCGGGUUGUAAACCUCUUUUAGUAGGGAAGAAGCGAAAGUGACGGUACCUGCAGAAAAAGCACCGGCUAACUACGUGCCAGCAGCCGCGGUAAUACGUAGGGUGCAAGCGUUAUCCGGAAUUAUUGGGCGUAAAGAGCUCGUAGGCGGUUUGUCGCGUCUGCUGUGAAAACUGGAGGCUCAACCUCCAGCCUGCAGUGGGUACGGGCAAACUAGAGUGCGGUAGGGGAGAUUGGAAUUCCUGGUGUAGCGGUGGAAUGCGCAGAUAUCAGGAGGAACACCGAUGGCGAAGGCAGAUCUCUGGGCCGUAACUGACGCUGAGGAGCGAAAGCAUGGGGAGCGAACAG
rnacentral:rRNA from 1 species